rnacentral:rRNA from 1 species
GACGAACGCUGGCGGCGUGCUUAACACAUGCAAGUCGAACGGAAAGGCCCUGCUUUUGUGGGGUGUUCGAGUGGCGAACGGGUGAGUAACACGUGAGUAACCUGCCCUUGACUUUGGGAUAACUUCAGGAAACUGGGGCUAAUACCGGAUAGGAGCUCCUGCUGCAUGGUGGGGGUUGGAAAGUUUCGGCGGUUGGGGAUGGACUCGCGGCUUAUCAGCUUGUUGGUGGGGUAGUGGCUUACCAAGGCUUUGACGGGUAGCCGGCCUGAGAGGGUGACCGGCCACAUUGGGACUGAGAUACGGCCCAGACUCCUACGGGAGGCAGCAGUGGGGAAUACUGCACAAUGGGCGGAAGCCUGAUGCAGCAACGCCGCGUGCGGGAUGACGGCCUUCGGGUUGUAAACCGCUUUCGCCUGUGACGAAGCGUGAGUGACGGUAAUGGGUAAAGAAGCACCGGCUAACUACGUG